GGGUGGUUUUAGCAGAGGGGCUCACCUGUUCCCAUUCCGAACACAGAAGUUAAGCCCUCUAGCGCCGAUGGUACUGCUAACGCGGGAGAGUAGGUCGCCGCCAGUCU
rnacentral:rRNA from 1 species